CUGCUGCCAUGUGAGACCUGCGUUUUGCCUUCCACCAUGACUGUGAGGCCUCUUCCCCGGCCAUGUGGAACUCCCAGAGACAGAAGCAGAUAAUGCAAGUGUCAUCUACAUCUGGCAAAAGCCAAAGGUUUGGAAGAUGGAAAAAGGAAUCCAGGCAAAAAGGAGCCCAAGAUUGAAGUGAAUGACCAGGUGCACCAGUUCAAAUGCAAUCAGGAGGGACAGGGGUAGAGGGAGAAGCCUAGAGCAGCGCUUCUCAAACUGACUAUUCAAGUCACCUGGAGAUCUUGGUGAAAUGCAGACUCUGGUGCAGUAGGUCCUGGCGGGAACUUGAAAUUCUGCAUUUUGACCAAGGUCCAAGGUGAAUGUCCAGUGCUGUUGUCCUUGGCCUGCAGCAGGAGGAGCAGGGAUCUAAGACUUGGAGAGCAAAUGUCAAGCUCAGAAGAAAGACUGGAAGUUUGGGGACAAAACCCAAAUAUGGCUAAAGAAAGCCUGUAGUUAUUGUUCUGAUAGAAUAUCAGCGGGGAGCUACUGAGGACCUCCUCACUACCCUCCCUUGGAAGAGUUUGUCUGCAAUGGAGCCAACACAGUGGAAAGCAGAGCUGAGAAAUGGACAAACAACUCCUGAUGCCUCAUUUGAGCACCUGGAUUUAGCCAUGUCUGAAGCUAUUAUAUCCUUGAACUUUUGAAUCAUGUAGGUUACCAUAAUUCCUUUUUUGUUAAAGCUAAUUUGAGUUGGGUUUCUAUCACUUGCAAUCAACAAUUGACCAGGUGCUUAGUACAUAAUGAAUGAGUGAAUGAACAAAUUCAAUUCUGUAAGUAUUUAUCAUCUCCUUACACGGCAGGCACUGUUUUAAGUCCCAAAGAAAGAGGCAGAGGAGCGACAGAGAUGACUUCCUCCCUUGAAAACGAAGCAUGUGGCCUGACAACCUAAAAUUGGGGUCAAUCCAUCCAAUUAUGGUGACUGCUUAGAAAUAUCCCUUUUCCUCCCAACGUUUUCCUUUCCUUCUCCCAUAAACAUAAUAAUGUCUCCUGCCAGUACUAAGGCAUGGCCCAUGGACCCACUAACACCUAUGCUCACGUUAGCUCUUGAGGCCGAGUGGCUUGGUUCUAUCUGGUUAUCAGAUGCAAACUUCAUCACAGCAGGGAUUUGGGCUAGACAUUAGAGGAAUAGUGUGGUACCAGAUGGUGUUUCUGAAGAAGGUUGUCCUAUUUUUGCAGUUUAAGGAUUUGAUAAUAAAUCUGCCUGGCAGCCCUCAGAUGUGAUUUGGCCUUGAAAUCGUCUCUGUUAAUCCUUGAUGCUGUGUGUAUCUGUCAAGGUCCAACCAGAAAAAACAGAACCUGCUCUAAGUAUCUGAACAAAGGGAAAUUUAAUGUAAGGAGCUGAUUGCACAGAUGAAGGAAGGGGCUGGGAGGCAAACAAGAGGGAACUGUGAGGUAACCCAGGGAUU
rnacentral:lncRNA from 1 species